rnacentral:lncRNA from 1 species
CAUUCUUCCUUCUCUCUCCUCUCGCGGCUUCCUCCGCACACCCCACUCGCACACACACAAACUCUCCCCAUCAUCCCGGAUCUCACGCACUCACCAACCUCCUCGCUCACUCUCUCUUCCCAUGACCUUCCUUCCUUCGCAUACCCUGUUCGUACACACACAAACUCUCCUCAUCAUCCCGGAUCUCACACACUCACCAACCCCCUCGUUCACUCUCUCUUCCCGCGACCUUCACUAUGUGUUUACACUCAAUUUACACAAAACAUCCACCCUCUCCCACAGAC